UACGUAGGGUGCAAGCGUUGUCCGGAAUUAUUGGGCGUAAAGAGCUCGUAGGCGGCCUGUCGCGUCGGCUGUGAAAACCCGGGGCUCAACCCCGGGCCUGCAGUCGAUACGGGCAGGCUAGAGUCCGGCAGGGGAGACUGGAAUUCCUGGUGUAGCGGUGAAAUGCGCAGAUAUCAGGAGGAACACCGGUGGCGAAGGCGGGUCUCUGGGCCGGAACUGACGCUGAGGUGCGAAAGCGUGGGGAGCAAACAGG
rnacentral:rRNA from 1 species